GACGAAGGGGGCUAGCGUUGUUCGGAAUUACUGGGCGUAAAGCGCGUGUAGGCGGUUGCCAUAGUCAGGUGUGAGAGCCUUGAGCUCAACUCAAGAAAUGCACUUGAUACUGGGCGACUAGAGGACCGGAGAGGAUAGUGGAAUUCCCAGUGUAGUGGUGAAAUACGUAGAGAUUGGGAAGAACACCAGUGGCGAAGGCGGCUAUCUGGACGGUUUCUGACGCUAAGACGCGAAAGCGUGGGGAGCAAACAGG
rnacentral:rRNA from 1 species